CCGGCGAUGUCCGAAUGGGGAAACCCAGUGCAAUUCGUUGCACUAUCGUUAACUGAAUACAUAGGUUAACGAGGCGAACCGGGGGAACUGAAACAUCUAAGUACCCCGAGGAAAAGAAAUCAACCGAGAUUCCCCCAGUAGCGGCGAGCGAACGGGGAGCAGCCCAGAGUCUGAAUCAGCUUGUGUGUUAGUGGAACGGUCUGGAAAGUCCGACGGUACAGGGUGAUAGUCCCGUACACCAAAAUGCACAGGUUGUGAACUCGAAGAGUAGGGCGGGACACGUGGUAUCCUGUCUGAAUAUGGGGGGACCAUCCUCCAAGGCUAAAUACUCCUGACUGACCGAUAGUGAACCAGUACCGUGAGGGAAAGGCGAAAAGAACCCCGGCGAGGGGAGUGAAAAAGAACCUGAAACCGUGUACGUACAAGCAGUGGGAGCACCUUCGGGUGUGACUGCGUACCUUUUGUAUAAUGGGUCAGCGACUUAUAUUCUGUAGCAAGGUUAACCGUAUAGGGGAGCCGCAGGGAAACCGAGUCUUAACUGGGCGUUAAGUUGCAGGGUAUAGACCCGAAACCCGGUGAUCUAGCCAUGGGCAGGUUGAAGGUUGGGUAACACUAACUGGAGGACCGAACCGACUAAUGUUGAAAAAUUAGCGGAUGACUUGUGGCUGGGGGUGAAAGGCCAAUCAAACCGGGAGAUAGCUGGUUCUCCCCGAAAGCUAUUUAGGUAGCGCCUCGUGAAUUCAUCUUCGGGGGUAGAGCACUGUUUCGGCUAGGGGGUCAUCCCGACUUACCAACCCGAUGCAAACUACGAAUACCGAAGAAUGUUAUCACGGGAGACACACGGCGGGUGCUAACGUCCGUCGUGAAGAGGGAAACAACCCAGACCGCCAGCUAAGGUCCCAAAGUCAUGGUUAAGUGGGAAACGAUGUGGGAAGGCACAGACAGCCAGGAUGUUGGCUUAGAAGCAGCCAUCAUUUAAAGAAAGCGUAAUAGCUCACUGGUCGAGUCGGCCUGCGCGGAAGAUGUAACGGGGCUAAACCAUGCACCGAAGCUGCGGCAGCGACACUAUGUGUUGUUGGGUAGGGGAGCGUUCUGUAAGCCUGCGAAGGUGACCUGUGAGGGUUGCUGGAGGUAUCAGAAGUGCGAAUGCUGACAUAAGUAACGAUAAAGCGGGUGAAAAGCCCGCUCGCCGGAAGACCAAGGGUUCCUGUCCAACGUUAAUCGGGGCAGGGUGAGUCGACCCCUAAGGCGAGGCCGAAAGGCGUAGUCGAUGGGAAACAGGUUAAUAUUCCUGUACUUGGUGUUACUGCGAAGGGGGGACGGAGAAGGCUAUGUUAGCCGGGCGACGGUUGUCCCGGUUUAAGCAUGUAGGCUGGUUGUCCAGGCAAAUCCGGAUAAUCAAGGCUGAGGUGUGAUGACGAGGCACUACGGUGCUGAAGUAACAAAUGCCCUGCUUCCAGGAAAAGCCUCUAAGCAUCAGGUAACAUCAAAUCGUACCCCAAACCGACACAGGUGGUCAGGUAGAGAAUACCAAGGCGCUUGAGAGAACUCGGGUGAAGGAACUAGGCAAAAUGGUGCCGUAACUUCGGGAGAAGGCACGCUGGUGUGUAGGUGAAGUCCCUGCGGAUGGAGCUGAGACCAGUCGAAGAUACCAGCUGGCUGCAACUGUUUAUUAAAAACACAGCACUGUGCAAACACGAAAGUGGACGUAUACGGUGUGACGCCUGCCCGGUGCCGGAAGGUUAAUUGAUGGGGUUAUCCGUAAGGAGAAGCUCUUGAUCGAAGCCCCGGUAAACGGCGGCCGUAACUAUAACGGUCCUAAGGUAGCGAAAUUCCUUGUCGGGUAAGUUCCGACCUGCACGAAUGGCGUAAUGAUGGCCAGGCUGUCUCCACCCGAGACUCAGUGAAAUUGAACUCGCUGUGAAGAUGCAGUGUACCCGCGGCAAGACGGAAAGACCCCGUGAACCUUUACUAUAGCUUGACACUGAACAUUGAGCCUUGAUGUGUAGGAUAGGUGGGAGGCUUUGAAGCGUGGACGCCAGUCUGCGUGGAGCCAACCUUGAAAUACCACCCUUUAAUGUUUGAUGUUCUAACGUUGGCCCCUGACCGGGGUUGCGGACAGUGUCUGGUGGGUAGUUUGACUGGGGCGGUCUCCUCCCAAAGCGUAACGGAGGAGCACGAAGGUUAGCUAAUCCUGGUCGGACAUCAGGAGGUUAGUGCAAUGGCAUAAGCUAGCUUGACUGCGAGCGUGACGGCGCGAGCAGGUGCGAAAGCAGGUCAUAGUGAUCCGGUGGUUCUGAAUGGAAGGGCCAUCGCUCAACGGAUAAAAGGUACUCCGGGGAUAACAGGCUGAUACCGCCCAAGAGUUCAUAUCGACGGCGGUGUUUGGCACCUCGAUGUCGGCUCAUCACAUCCUGGGGCUGAAGUAGGUCCCAAGGGUAUGGCUGUUCGCCAUUUAAAGUGGUACGCGAGCUGGGUUUAGAACGUCGUGAGACAGUUCGGUCCCUAUCUGCCGUGGGCGCUGGAGAAUUGAGGGGGGCUGCUCCUAGUACGAGAGGACCGGAGUGGACGCAUCACUGGUGUUCGGGUUGUCAUGCCAAUGGCACUGCCCGGUAGCUAAAUGCGGAAGAGAUAAGUGCUGAAAGCAUCUAAGCACGAAACUUGCCCCGAGAUGAGUUCUCCCUGAGACUUUAAGUCUCCUGAAGGAACGUUGAAGACGACGACGUUGAUAGGCCGGGUGUGUAAGCGCAGCGAUGCGUUGAGCUAACCGGUACUAAUGAACCGUGAGGCUUAACCUU
rnacentral:rRNA from 1 species